AGAGUUUGAUCUUGGCUCAGGACGAACGCUGGCGGCGCGCCUAACACAUGCAAGUCGAACGGGCCCCGACGCAAGUCGGGGUCAGUGGCGGACGGGUGAGUAACACGUAAGCAAUCUACCCCUGGGUCCGGGAUAACCUGCCGAAAGGUGGGCUAAUACCGGAUACUUUUUCGGUCUCGCAUGAGGCCGAAAAGAAAGGUUUUUCGCCAAGGGAUGAGCUUGCGGCCUAUCAGCUAGUUGGCGGGGUAACGGCCCACCAAGGCUAUGACGGGUAGCUGGUCUGAGAGGACGAUCAGCCACACUGGAACUGAGACACGGUCCAGACUCCUACGGGAGGCAGCAGUGAGGAAUUUUCCGCAAUGGGCGAAAGCCUGACGGAGCGACGCCGUGUGGGUGAUGAAGGCCUUCGGGUCGUAAAACCCUGUCAGCGAAGAGGAUAUUGACAGUAUUCGCAGAGGAAGCCCCGGCUAACUACGUGCCAGCAGCCGCGGUAAUACGUAGGGGGCAAGCGUUGUCCGGAAUUAUUGGGCGUAAAGCGCAUGUAGGCGGUUCCGUAAGUCAGAUGUCAAAUCCCCGGGCUUAACCCGGGUCCGCAUCUGAUACUGCGGGGCUUGAGAGAUAUAGAGGAAAGCGGAACUACCGGUGUAGCGGUGAAAUGCGUAGAUAUCGGUAGGAACACCAGUGGCGAAGGCGGCUUUCUGGAUAUUUUCUGACGCUGAGAUGCGAAAGCAAGGGGAGCAAACGGGAUUAGAUACCCCGGUAGUCCUUGCCGUAAACUAUGGUCACUAGGUGUAGGAGGUAUCGACCCCUUCUGUGCCGGAGCUAACGCGUUAAGUGACCCGCCUGGGGAGUACGGCCGCAAGGCUAAAACUCAAAGGAAUUGACGGGGGCCCGCACAAGCGGUGGAGCAUGUGGUUUAAUUCGAUUCUACGCGAAGAACCUUACCUGGGCUUGAAAUUCAAGAAGUAUCCCGGUGGAAACACCGGGUGACCGUUGAACCGGUGUCUUGAAUAGGUGCUGCAUGGCUGUCGUCAGCUCGUGUCGUGAGAUGUUGGGUUAAGUCCCGCAACGAGCGCAACCCCUAUCACUAGUUGCCCCGCCUCUGGCGGGGAACUCUAGCGAGACUGCCCGUGAUAAAUGGGAGGAAGGCGGGGAUGACGUCAAGUCAGCAUGGCCCUUAUGUCCAGGGCUACACACGUGCUACAAUCCGCGCUACAAAGAGCAGCAAGCCGGCGACGGCGAGCAAAUCUCAAAAAAGCGCGGUCAAUUCGGAUUGCAGUCUGCAACUCGACUGCAUGAAGCCGGAAUCGCUAGUAACCGCAGAUGAGGUACGCUGCGGUGAAUACGUUCUCGGGCCUUGUACACACCGCCCGUCACACCAUGAGAGUCAGAUACACCCAAAGCAUCCCGCUUGCGGGGUUCUAAGGUGGAGCUGAUGAUUGGGGUGAAGUCGUAACAAGGUA
rnacentral:rRNA from 1 species